GAUGAACGCUGGCGGCGUGCCUAAUACAUGCAAGUCGAACGAGGUGCUUUUGUAGCAAUACGAGAGUAUCCUAGUGGCGAACGGGUGAGUAACGCGUUGGUGACCUACCCCAAAGUGUGGGAUAACAGUCCGAAAGGAUUGCUAAUACCGCAUGUGAUCAUUGGAUUUAGAAACUGAUGACUAAAGGAGCAAUUCGCUUUGGGAGGGACCUGCGUCCCAUCAGCUAGUUGGUGAGGUAAUGGCUCACCAAGGCGACGACGGGUAGGGGACCUGAGAGGGUGACCCCCCACAAUGGAACUGAAACACGGUCCAUACACCUACGGGUGGCAGCAGUAGGGAAUAUUGCUCAAUGGGCGAAAGCCUGAAGCAGCAACGCCGCGUGUGUGAUGAAGGCCUUCGGGCCGUAAAGCACUUUUCUGGGAGAUGAGAAAGGACAGUAUCCCAGGAAUAAGUCUCGGCUAACUACGUGCCAGCAGCCGCCGUAAUAC
rnacentral:rRNA from 1 species